rnacentral:lncRNA from 1 species
AUACUGAUCCCCACCUUCUGGGUGCUGGGAGGCCUCAGGAUGGCUGCUCUCCCCUCCGCCCCCUUCCCCAAUCCUAGAACCUCCAGCAGUGCAGCAUCUAGAGAUCAGAGGAGGAAGCUCAAGAUCUGGGCAGGAUGGGACCCCGCGGGCCUGGGAGAUGAUUGUCCGGAGCAGCCUGAGGAUCACCCGGCUGGCCCGUCGGGGAGGGAAAGAGGCCCUAGACAGGCUGCUCCUUCAGCCCAGCUGCCAGCAUGAAGAAGACAUGCAGAGCAGAGACAUGACCACUGGCCUGCGAAUAAGAGGACCUCUGGGCCGUUGUUGAAGAGUUGUGGCAAUAACAGACACCUUGUCCCAUUUCUCGUCUUAAAGGAAUGCUUUCAAUGCUUCACCUUUAAGUAUGAUAUUUGGUGUCAGCUUUUUGUAGAUGUCCUUUGUCAGAGAGGAGCAUCAGCACGGGGCAGGGCGCACAGCAGAGCUCCCCAAGCGACUGCCUUUGCCAAUCCUUGAGCCUGACACCUAGUGGCUAAAGCAGGGAAUGCAGGCUACUUUUCAAAAGAGCUCCAAGGCAGAAUCUCAGAAUCUCUUACCACACUGCCUCAGGUGAGGCCGAAGGCCCGCGGCUCCCCAGCCUACCUGUUCCCACUUUCCAGAAGGGAAAGGCGGUUCAUCAAGCUUUGUGAUAUCAAAAAACUGGAGAGAAACAAUGAUUAUUGAUACAUGUGAAUAUACUAAAAACCAUUGAAUUACACACUU